rnacentral:rRNA from 1 species
AUGCAGUCGAACGCGAAAAUUUCCCUUCGGGGCAGAAAGUAGAGUGGCGCACGGNCCGUUUUAACACGUAGGUAAUUUGCCUUUGGGUGGGGAAUAACUCAGGGAAACUUGAGCUAAUACCGCAUAAUGCAGCGGCUCGACAUCGAGACAGUUGUUAAAGCGGGGGAUUGGAGCAAUCCGACCUCGCGCCUAAAGAGAAGCCUGCGGCAGAUUAGCUAGUUGGUAAGGUAAUGGCUUACCAAGGCUACGAUCUGUAACCGGCCUGAGAGGGCGGUCGGUCACACUGACACUGACAUACGGGUCAGACUCCUACGGGAGGCAGCAGUCGGGAAUUUUGGGCAAUGGGCGAAAGCCUGACCCAGCAACGCCGCGUGAAGGAUGAAAUUUUUCGGAAUGUAAACUUCGCAAGAACAGGAAGAAUAAGUAGGGGACAAUACCCCCUAUGAUGACGGUACUGUUUGUAAGCUCCGGCUAACUCCGUGCCAGCAGCCGCGGUAAUACGGGGGGAGCAAGCGUUGUUCGGAUUUACUGGGCGUAAAGGGCGCGUAGGCGGCGUGACAAGUCACUUGUGAAAUCUCCGGGCUUAACUCGGAACGGUCAAGUGAUACUGUCGUGCUAGAGUACAGAAGGGGCAACUGGAAUUCUCGGUGUAGCGGUGAAAUGCGUAGAUAUCNAGAGGAACACCCUGCNGCGAANGCGGGUUGCUGGGCUGAUACUGACGCUGAAGGCGCNAAAGCCCUGGGGAACNGAACGGNAUUUAGAUACCCCGGUAUUCCUGGCCUUAAAC